GGUGGUAGCUCUUUCCUCCAUAUGGUGGUAGUUUUCACACUCCCAGCAGGGAUGUAACUCUUUCCACAUCUUGAAUUUCAGAAAUUUUCAUAGCUAAAAUUGGAAAGACUCCCCCUAAAUUAGUGCAACCCUCAAAUCAAAAAAUAUUAUAGCUAUUUCAAAAACAGAGAAAGAUUUAUUCAUCUCAAAACUAAUAAUCAAACAAACAAUUCCAACAUUCAAAUUUCAAAGCAUGAGGUGCUGAAUUUGAUUCAAUAUGCUAAACAGAAUUUCAAUGAUUUGAUUGUUCAAAAAUAUGUCAAUAGAGAAUAACCCUGAUAUUGAUCAAUCAAAACUUAAAUAUGAAAUACUUAAAUUCACAGAUCAACUCAUCUCCCAAAACAGCAACAUCAUGCAAGAAAAUCAAUCAACCCUCAAACACCGAAAAUCAUGCAAGAAAAGAAACAAA
rnacentral:lncRNA from 1 species